AGAGUUUGAUCCUGGCUCAGAAUCAACGCUGGCGGCGUGCCUAACACAUGCAAGUCGCACGAGAAAGGGGAGCAAUCCCUGAGUAAAGUGGCGCACGGGUGAGUAACACGUGAAUCAUCUACCUCCGAGUGGGGAAUAACCUAGAGAAAUCUGGGCUAAUACCGCAUAACACUUACGAGUCAAAGCAGCAAUGCGCUUGGAGAGGAGUUCGCGGCCGAUUAGCUAGUUGGCGGGGUAAUGGCCCACCAAGGCGAUGAUCGGUAUCCGGCCUGAGAGGGCGCACGGACACACUGGAACUGAAACACGGUCCAGACUCCUACGGGAGGCAGCAGUGGGGAAUUUUGCGCAAUGGGGGAAACCCUGACGCAGCAACGCCGCGUGGAGGAUGAAAUAUCUUGGUAUGUAAACUCCUUUCGAUGGGGAAGAUUAUGACGGUACCCAUAGAAGAAGCCCCGGCUAACUUCGUGCCAGCAGCCGCGGUAAUACGAGGGGGGCAAGCGUUGUUCGGAUUUAUUGGGCGUAAAGGGUGCGUAGGCGGUUUGGCAAGUCUUAUGUGAAAUCUUCGGGCUCAACCCGAAGCCUGCAUAAGAAACUGCCGGGCUUGAGUAUGGGAGAGGUGAGUGGAAUUUCCGGUGUAGCGGUGAAAUGCGUAGAUAUCGGAAGGAACACCUGUGGCGAAAGCGGCUCACUGGACCAUAACUGACGCUGAUGCACGAAAGCUAGGGGAGCAAACAGGAUUAGAUACCCUAGUAGUCC
rnacentral:rRNA from 1 species